AUGAGUACAUGCUUUGAAUGCAUUUCCUGGGUGAUGCCCUGGGGCAGGGCACCUUUGGUGCCUGCCACUUUAAGGGCAAAAAACAGGCAGCAGCCAGGUGCCUGAUGAGGGCAGCCAUUUUGGACCCAGGAGUAUAAGCUGGGCUGCAGUUUGCUGCAGGAGGAAGGAGGUAACAUCAGGCUGAGAGGCUGCUCCGGCCACAGUUGGGAGGAAAACAGGAGACUUGGGCACAGAUCCAUCCCCUCUAUAUGGAAAGACUGCAGAGAUAAAUGUCACAGUCUCCUGUCGUGCCUACUGUAAGGAACUUCAACUCAGAAUCUAAAAUUGGCACAUGGAUCACUGCUACAAGACAGCCUGAAAGUCACAUGGGAGCUUCACAGAGUUAGAAGAGAUUUGGAUAUUACAAAGCUAUGAUCUAUCUUCCCCUUGCUGUCAAAUGCUGCAUUAUUUGAACUGCUUCAAAAGUACUGGAAGGGCCUUUGUUACUGUUGCAUUAUCACCUGAAUACCAGACAGGUUAAUUUUCAUAUAUAAGUAUGUAAGAGGGAAAAAAUAUUGUAUUAAUAAUAAUCCAUGCACGAUACCAGAGAUAUUGAAUAAAUUAUCUAGCUCUAAAGAAUUUUCCAAACUUUCUGCUGCCUCAGUUACCCCUGAAAUCAUGCAAUAAGUUAAACUAGAAAAUGAGUUAAUUGUAUAUUAACUGUGUAGUAGGAGUGACAGCUGUAAAUAGAUGUAUAUGACAAUGAUAAUAGGGAACCAGAAGGAAACAAGGAUACAAUAACGGAAAUCACCUCAUCUGAGGUUGAGGGAAAACUUAGACUGCUUUCUAUGACAAAAAUGUCAGGGCACAGGUAACCGACAUCCCCAACUGAAAGAACUGGAAUAUGAAAUACAAUAUCCUGAAGUAGGGAUCAUCAAUGAAUCUGUCAGGUAGUCCCCCUUGACUGAACAAGAGCAAAUAUAGUGCCGAUGUCCAAAAAAGGAAAAAAAAACCUAUGACCCAGUUAACUGCCAACUGAUCAAUUUGACUUUAACUGUUAACACCAGUGAGGUUUCUGGAAGAACUAUGUGCACUUACAAAUUUAUGAAUGACAAUACACUAAUAGAUACUACC